CUCCCCCGCCGCCCCCCUGACGCGCCCCCGCGUGCCCUGCGUGUUGGGGGCGGGCGCUGUGACGCCCUUCGUUGAUUGGCUGGACUCGGGGCGGCGGGCGACGCGGGAUCUUGGCAGCCACUGGGCUUUCCCGCCAUGUCGUUUGUGGCGAGCCCGGCCUCGGCUCCGCGGCGUAACCGCCCGGUUACCCAAACCCCACUGCCUAGACCUAAGUAUUCUGCCUUCAUUCGGGGUGACGGUUGGGGUGAGGGCGAAGCUGAGGAGGAGGAGGGCUGCGAUUCUGUGGCCCGCGACUUGAGGGCGGAGUUCUCGACUGGGGCGUCGUCGGGGCCCCUGGGGGGCCGGCUGCCCCUGCUGGAAGGAGACGGGUCGCCUGUCCUGCCGGAGAAGCGCAACGGGAUCUUCCCGGUGGCGAAGGGCAGCCGGGCCCAGGCUUGCCGCUGGCCUGUCCAGGUCCUCUCUAUUCUCUGUUCAUUGCUGUUCGCCGUGCUCCUGGCUUUCCUCCUCGCCAUCGCUUACCUGAUCGUGAAAGAUUUACAUGCUGAAAAUUUGAAAAAUGAAGAUGGUGGAAAUGCUGGACUAUUAGGAUUCUGGACUCUGCUGAUAAUAUCCCUAACUGCUGGGUUCUCCUGCUGCAGUUUUUCUUGGACAGUGACGUAUUUUGAUUCUUUUGAACCAGGAAUGUUCCCUCCUACUCCUCUCUCACCUGCCAGGUUCAACUAAGCUGUCAUUUUAACACCAUGUCCAUAAUAUUUAUUGGUCAUUUGCUGUGUGCCAAAGGGAAACUGACUGGACAUUCUUUCCACAUGGGCUAUAGCAUGGCAAUUUUGAAUGGCAUUGUAGCUGCUCUUACUGUGGCCUGGUGCCUCCUGUAAACCCACAGUGGAACAGUGUGGGCAGAAGUCAUGAUUGUUUAGUAAUAACAGAAAAUGUAAUGACUGCAUACUGAGAAGACUGAGAGACUGAGAUGCAUGUCAUAAUAAUCAUGAUGGAGGAGGACCUUUAAAAGCAUUCUUUUACAGUCGAGGCAUUGAGAAUAUUUAAGUGUUGUUUCAAAUAAUUUCUUCAAAGAUACCUUACCUCAUCAUUUUACUUUGCUGUGUGUAGUUAUUAUCAGUUGUACAUAACAUUUUGAUGGUGAUCAAACUUGAAAACUUGAAUAUAAGAUAUGCCUACCUUUCCAUGUAAAUACAUUUUUUUCUGAUGUUGCUGUUUAAUCAAGAUAUUUCUUAUUUAUAAUAACAUUUUCAAAACAAUGCCUACUAUGACAUUAUAAAGAAGCUACUUUUUCAAGUUAGGGUAGUUUUGAUACUUAUAUAAUCACUAGAAGGUGAGUUUAUAUUCUUAUGGGCUAUGAUUCCUUGUGUGUUUUGCAUAUUUUCCUACUACAUAUUGAAUUUAUGUUUUUUUAAAUGAUUACACCUAGACAAGUGUAAGUGCUAUUUCUUACCUGGUGCAAACUAGCCAUUUUACUAAAUAUUUUGUCUUUUUACAAAACACAAAAGAACAUUGACUAGGUAUAAAAUUAAGUAGAUUUAUUUUUUGACCAAAAAAUAAUCACUGAAAAUGUAAAUUGUCACUUAAAUAUUGAGAAAUUUGAGGCUGUUAACUAUUCUCUUUUCCACAUUUUGAAAUAUUUGAUGUAUUUAUGGUUACUUCUCAAAAAAACAUUAUUUUGUUUUAAUAAAUGAAAUUUUUAUAC